rnacentral:misc_RNA from 1 species
GGUGAGUGAUAGAUGUGAUUUUCUUCACAAAACCAAAGAAAAUUUAAGCAAACAAAAAAAAGUAUUAGCGUGAUAUUAGCAGAUUCUAGGACUCACUCUAUCAAGAAAGCCUCAAACUUUUGAGGGUUAGAACUGCAUCAAACUACUCAAGAAGCAUAAUUGUCGUAUUAUUCACAGAAAAAAAAUAAUAAUAAAGCACUACAAGCCUAGGUAUUUAUGAUAGGAUACAAUUGUAAUUCCACCAGGCAACUUGUAUAGGUAUACAAAGUUAACUGACAGUCUUACUAGUCUAGGGUCACAGUAAAUCUUGGAUUAUUCAUUAUAAAUAUACGAGUGAUGCCCUAGAAGAUAAUGGGAAAAUCACUUUUCACAUGGUAUCAAAGCCGAUUAUUGAUAUCUGAAUCCCUUUCCGCUCUAAAAUUUAGAUACGAGUAAUUCUAUGCCUAUUAAUACUAGAAUUCCUAAUCUUCUAGGAGUUGAAAUCUACAAACUAAAACUAACUGCUAGACUUAUUACGACUUCAUGUUGAAACCCAAAAUUAAGUAGAUAUAAAUUAAGAUACAAGAAAUGUAGACUAGCCCAUUCCAGCUAAAUUGUGACAUUGCUUAAUGCCCUUGAUUACAGAAAGUGCCCAAGCGACUAUACUGUGAGCAGUCACCUGCCAAAAUCAUUAAUUUAAUUGCUAUAUGGAGUUUUAUUAUCGUUUACAUACAAGUUCCAGCUUAUUUCUAAACUCAUUUAUUAAACGAAACAGGUAGGAGGGGAGACUUGUCACAAAUUUGCUGGUUUAUAGACUUUUGAGCAUGGACUAAACAAUUAUGAAUUUUAUUUGGAG